rnacentral:rRNA from 1 species
GUCAGCUCGUGUCGUGAGAUUGGUUGGGUUAACGUCCCGCAACGAGCCGCCAACCCCUAUUGUUAGUUGCCAUCAUUCAGUUGGGCACUCUAGCGAGACUGCCGGUAAUAACCGGAGGAAGGUGGGAUGACGUCAAAUCAUCAUGCCCCUUAUGACCUGGGCUACACACGUGCUACAAUGGUUGGUACAACGAGUUGCGAGUCGGUGACGGCGAGCUAAUCUCUUAAAGCCAAUCUCAGUUCGGAUUGUAGGCUGCAACUCGCCUACAUGAAGUCGGAAUCGCUAGUAAUCGCGGAUCAGCACGCCGCGGUCGAAUACGUUCCCGGGCCUU